rnacentral:rRNA from 1 species
GACGAACGCUGGCGGCGUGCUUAACACAUGCAAGUCGAACGGAAAGGCCCUGCUUUUGUGGGGUGCUCGAGUGGCGAACGGGUGAGUAACACGUGAGUAACCUGCCCUUUACUUUGGGAUAACUUCAGGAAACUGGGGCUAAUACCGGAUAGGAGCUCCUGCUGCAUGGUGGGGGUUGGAAAGUUUCGGCGGUUGGGGAUGGAUUCGCGGCUUAUCAGCUUGUUGGUGGGGUAGUGGCUUACCAAGGCUUUGACGGGUAGUCGGCCUGAGAGGGUGACCGGCCACAUUGGGACUGAGAUACGGCCCAGACUCCUACGGGAGGCAGCAGUGGGGAAUAUUGCCCAAUGGGGGGAAGCCUGAUGCAGCAACGCCGCGUGCGGGAUGAAGGCCUUCGGGUUGUAAACCGCAUUCGCCUGUGACGAAGCGUGAGUGACGGUAAUGGGUAAAGAAGCACCGGCUAACUACGUG